GACAGAGGCCUCGAGCGUUAGGCGGAAUCACUGGGCUUAAAGCGUGUGUAGGCGGGCCCGUAAGUGUCUUGUGAAAUCCCACCGCUCACCGGUGGAACGGCUGGGCAUACUGGCGACCUUGAGAGGCCUAGGGGCAGACGGAACAAGCGGUGGAGCGGUGAAAUGCGUAGAUAUCGCUUGGAACGCCGACGGCGAAAGCAGUCUGCUGGGGGACUUCUGACGCUGAGACACGAAAGCCAGGGGAGCGAACGGG
rnacentral:rRNA from 1 species